AGGGACUGUACGGACUAGAAGGUGUGAUCUUUGGACUAGUAGGCGAGUAUGCUAGGGAAGGGCUGUAUCUGGCUGAGGGAUUGUAACUCGGUGAUGUAAGUAUGCUAGGGAAGGGCUGUAUCUGGCUGAGGGAUUGUAACUCGGUGAUGUAGGGCUGUAACUUGGAGAGGUAGGGCUGUAACUGGGGGAGGUGGGGCUAUAUCCAGGAGAGGUUGGGCUAUAUGCAGGUGAGGUGGGGCUGUAUGAUGGAGAAGUUGGACUGUAUGACGGAGAGGUGGGGCUGUACGAUGGAGAAGUUGGACUAUACGAUGGAGAAGUCGGACUGUAUGACGGAGAAGUCGGGCUGUACGCAGGAGAAGUCGGGCUGUAUGCUGGGGAAGUUGGGCUGUACGCAGGAGAAGUAGGGCUGUAACUUGGAGAUGUAGGGCUGUAACUUGGCGACGUUGGGCUGUAACUAGGUGAUGUUGGGCUGUAACUGGGAGAAGUUGGUGAAUACGAUGGACUUGUAGGAGAAUAUGCAGGACUUGUUGGGCUAUAUCCAGGAGAACUAGGGCUAUAGGUCGGGGAAGUGGGACUAUAACCAGGGGAAGUGGGGCUAUAACCGGGGGAGGUGGGGCUAUAUCCAGGGGAGGAUGGACUGUAUCCAGGAGAUGAUGGGCU
rnacentral:lncRNA from 1 species